AAUAACAGCUAAAAGCCGCUGUUCUUUGUCCUUCUGCUAUUCCCCCUCGUCUUGUCCUCCUCUCUCUUGUUUAUCGCGUCUCAAAGGAUUUCCUGCUUUUCUGCUCUCCUCUCCGACUCGAUCCGUGCCGUAACUCUAGAAGUGUGCGAAGGAGUCUUUGCUUUUCAGGAGCGACUUGGGAGGUAUUGUGAGAGGAAGGGCCAUAGAGGCACCGUGACGGGGUGAAAAGGAAAGUCCGCAUGCUUGCACAGGCACAGAGGAUGGAGGAGUGCCCUGUGCACACUUUAAUGUGAUUACAAGUAAUUAAGACUUUUUGGAAGAGCGUUUUUAUUCCUGGAACCUUUCUUCCCAGCUCACAAAUCCAAAGUGUUGGCACUCCAUUCUUUCUCCACGCUCUCGGUAGCUCGGCAUUGUCUACUCUACAUGCAGCUUUGGCUGCUCUUGACACUUGGAAGCCUACUUUGAAAGCGUAUCACUUGCUUGAAAUCCAGACUUGAGCCCACUGCUCCAUUUUAUUAAUAAAUUGAGGAAUGGUAAUGAAA